rnacentral:rRNA from 1 species
AUGAAGUACCAGCUGAAAAUAAUGAUGAUCCAUUGUACUGUACACAACAUGGUGCUGGAAACCGGUGGCACUGUUGGUAAUGGUUUGGGUGCUGAAAAUGAUGAUGAAGCUUGGUCACAGCCCAAGGAGCCUUACGUGGGCAUGAGGUUCGACACUUUGGAAGAUGCCAAGGUGCAUUACAAUGCAUAUUCCUUGCAAAUGGGGUUUUCAAUCAAAAUGAAUAGUUCAAGGAAGGAUCUCAAAAAAGGGGAGUUGAUAAAACAACAGUUUGUUUGCAACAAGUUUCGGAAGCCUGAUGUUGAUGACGGAGGGGCAGAAAAGAUUCCCGUGCUAGAUGACAUUGUUGAGCAAGAAAAAAAUGAUAAUGAAGAUGAGGCUAUUGUCUUUCUUGAUGAUGAUAGUAAAGGCAAAAAGAGGAGCAAGAAACGAAAAAGAGAUAAAAUUGUGCAAACUGGUUGCAAAGCUAAGAUGAUUGUGAAGGUAAUAGAUGGCAGAUGGGAAGUGAUCUACUUUGUUAGCAAGCACAACCACCCGUUGGUUGACAAGCUAUGUUUGACUAAAUAUUUGCGAUCACACCAAGGGAUCCCGCCGGAAGAAAGGGCCUUCCUUACUCAUCUUCAUAACUGCAAUUUAACUACAGGUCGUAUGAUGCACAUCAUGUCAGAUUUCUAUGGGACAGAACUCAUUGUACCUUAUGGCACUAAACACAUUACAAACCUCAAGACGCUCUUGAACAAGGAUGAUACAAAAGAAGGGGAUAUGAUAGAGACAGUUGCUUACUUUAAAGAU